UACGGGGGGGGCAAGCGUUGUUCGGAAUUACUGGGCGUAAAGGGCUCGUAGGCGGCCAACUAAGUCAGACGUGAAAUCCCUCGGCUUAACCGGGGAACUGCGUCUGAUACUGGAUGGCUUGAGGUUGGGAGAGGGAUGCGGAAUUCCAGGUGUAGCGGUGAAAUGCGUAGAUAUCAGGAGGAACACCAGCGGUGUAGACGGCUUUCUGGACCAUUGCUGACGCUGAGACACGAAAGCGUGGGUAGCAAACAGG
rnacentral:rRNA from 1 species